rnacentral:rRNA from 1 species
GACGAACGCUGGCGGCGUGCUUAACACAUGCAAGUCGAACGAUGAAGCCGGAGCUUGCUCUGGUGGAUUAGUGGCGAACGGGUGAGUAACACGUGAGUAACCUGCCCUUGACUCUGGGAUAACUGCUAGAAAUGGUAGCUAAUACCGGAUACGACCCUCGGAGGCAUCUCCAGGGGGUGGAAAGAAUUUCGGUCAAGGAUGGAGUCGCGGCCUAUCAGCUAGUUGGUGAGGUAACGGCUCACCAAGGCGACGACGGGUAGCCGGCCUGAGAGGGUGACCGGCCACACUGGGACUGAGACACGGCCCAGACUCCUACGGGAGGCAGCAGUGGGGAAUAUUGCACAAUGGGCGCAAGCCUGAUGCAGCAACGCCGCGUGAGGGACGACGGCCUUCGGGUUGUAAACCUCUUCUAGUAGGGAAGAAGCGAAAGUGACGGUACCUGCAGAAAAAGCACCGGCCAACUACGUGCCAGCCGCCGCCGUAA